rnacentral:rRNA from 1 species
GGGUGAGUAACGCGUGAGGAACCUGCCUCAAAGAGGGGGACAACAGUUGGAAACGACUGCUAAUACCGCAUAAGCCCACAGCUCGGCAUCGAGCAGAGGGAAAAGGAGCAAUCCGCUUUGAGAUGGCCUCGCGUCCGAUUAGCUAGUUGGUGAGGUAACGGCCCACCAAGGCGACGAUCGGUAGCCGGACUGAGAGGUUGAACGGCCACAUUGGGACUGAGACACGGCCCAGACUCCUACGGGAGGCAGCAGUGGGGAAUAUUGCACAAUGGGGGAAACCCUGAUGCAGCGACGCCGCGUGGAGGAAGAAGGUCUUCGGAUUGUAAACUCCUGUUGUUGAGGAAGAUAAUGACGGUACUCAACAAGGAAGUGACGGCUAACUACGUGCCAGCAGCCGCGGUAAAACGUAGGUCACAAGCGUUGUCCGGAAUUACUGGGUGUAAAGGGAGCGCAGGCGGGAAGACAAGUUGGAAGUGAAAUCCAUGGGCUCAACCCAUGAACUGCUUUCAAAACUGUUUUUCUUGAGUAGUGCAGAGGUAGGCGGAAUUCCCGGUGUAGCGGUGGAAUGCGUAGAUAUCGGGAGGAACACCAGUGGCGAAGGCGGCCUACUGGGCACCAACUGACGCUGAGGCUCGAAAGUGUGGGUAGCAAACAGGAUUAGAUACCCUGGUAGUCCACACCGUAAACGAUGAUUACUAGGUGUUGGAGGAUUGACCCCUUCAGUGCCGCAGUUAACACAAUAAGUAAUCCACCUGGGGAGUACGACCGCAAGGUUGAAACUCAAAGGAAUUGACGGGGGGCCCGCACAAGCAGUGGAGU